AUAGACCCGAAACCCGGUGAUCUAGCCAUGGGCAGGUUGAAGGUUGGGUAACACUAACUGGAGGACCGAACCGACUAAUGUUGAAAAAUUAGCGGAUGACUUGUGGCUGGGGGGGAAAGGCCAAUCAAACCGGGAGAUAGCUGGUUCUCCCCGAAAGCUAUUUAGGUAGCGCCUCGUGAAUUCAUCUCCGGGGGUAGAGCACUGUUUCGGCAAGGGGGUCAUCCCGACUUACCAACCCGAUGCAAACUGCGAAUACCGGAGAAUGUUAUCACGGGAGACACACGGCGGGUGCUAACGUCCGUCGUGAAGAGGGAAACAACCCAGACCGCCAGCUAAGGUCCCAAAGUCAUGGUUAAGUGGGAAACGAUGUGGGAAGGCCCAGACAGCCAGGAUGUUGGCUUAGAAGCAGCCAUCAUUUAAAGAAAGCGUAAUAGCUCACUGGUCGAGUCGGCCUGCGCGGAAGAUGUAACGGGGCUAAACCAUGCACCGAAGCUGCGGCAGCGACGCUGAU
rnacentral:rRNA from 1 species